CAGCAGCCGCGGUAAGACAGAGGAUGCAAGCAUUAUCCGGAAUGAUUGGGCGUAAAGCGUCUGUAGGUGGCUUUUCAAGUCCGCCGUCAAAUCCCAGGGCUCAACCCUGGACAGGCGGUGGAAACUACCAAGCUGGAGUACGGUAGGGGCAGAGGGAAUUUCCAGUGGAGCGGUGAAAUGCGUAGAUAUAUGGAGGAACACCAGUGGCGAAGGCGACUCUCUGGUCUGUAACUGACGCUGAGGAGCGAAAGCGUGGGGAGCGAACAGGAUUAGAUACCCCGGUAGUCCCUGUCUCUUAUAC
rnacentral:rRNA from 1 species